UUUAUUGUGGUUUUGGAUGGACUCGCGGCCUAUCAGCUUGUUGGUGAGGUAAUGGCUUACCAAGGCGACGACGGGUAGCCGGCCUGAGAGGGUGACCGGCCACACUGGGACUGAGACACGGCCCAGACUCCUACGGGAGGCAGCAGUGGGGAAUAUUGCACAAUGGGCGCAAGCCUGAUGCAGCGACGCCGCGUGAGGGAUGACGGCCUUCGGGUUGUAAACCUCUUUCAGUAGGGAAGAAGCGAAAGUGACGGUACCUGCAGAAGAAGCGCCGGCUAACUACGUGCCAGCAGCCGCGGUAAUACGUAGGGCGCAAGCGUUAUCCGGAAUUAUUGGGCGUAAAGAGCUCGUAGGCGGUUUGUCGCGUCUGCCGUGAAAGUCCGGGGCUCAACUCCGGAUCUGCGGUGGGUACGGGCAGACUAGAGUGAUGUAGGGGAGACUGGAAUUCCUGGUGUAGCGGUGAAAUGCGCAGAUAUCAGGAGGAACACCGAUGGCGAAGGCAGGUCUCUGGGCAUUAACUGACGCUGAGGAGCGAAAGCAUGGGGAGCGAACAGGAUUAGAUACCCUGGUAGUCCAUGCCGUAAACGUUGGGCACUAGGUGUGGGGGACAUUCCACGUUUUCCGCGCCGUAGCUAACGCAUUAAGUGCCCCGCCUGGGGAGUACGGCCGCAAGGCUAAAACUCAAAGGAAUUGACGGGGGCCCGCACAAGCGGCGGAGCAUGCGGAUUAAUUCGAUGCAACGCGAAGAACCUUACCAAGGCUUGACAUGAACCGGUAAUACCUGGAGACAGGUGCCCCGCUUGCGGUCGGUUUACAGGUGGUGCAUGGUUGUCGUCAGCUCGUGUCGUGAGAUGUUGGGUUAAGUCCCGCAACGAGCGCAACCCUCGUUCUAUGUUGCCAGCACGUGAUGGUGGGGACUCAUAGGAGACUGCCGGGGUCAACUCGGAGGAAGGUGGGGACGACGUCAAAUCAUCAUGCCCCUUAUGUCUUGGGCUUCACGCAUGCUACAAUGGCCGGUACAAAGGGUUGCGAUACUGUGAGGUGGAGCUAAUCCCAAAAAGCCGGUCUCAGUUCGGAUUGGGGUCUGCAACUCGACCCCAUGAAGUCGGAGUCGCUAGUAAUCGCAGAUCAGCAACGCUGCGGUGAAUACGUUCCCGGGCCUUGUACACACCGCCCGUCAAGUCACGAAAGUUGGUAACACCCGAAGCCGGUGGCCUAACCCCUUGUGGGAGGGAGCUGUCGAAG
rnacentral:rRNA from 1 species